rnacentral:rRNA from 1 species
UGAGGAAUAUUGGACAAUGGGCGCAAGCCUGAUCCAGCCAUGCCGCGUGCAGGAUGACGGUCCUAUGGAUUGUAAACUGCUUUUGUACAGGAAGAAACAGUUCUACGUGUAGAACCUUGACGGUACUGUAAGAAUAAGGAUCGGCUAACUCCGUGCCAGCAGCCGCGGUAAUACGGAGGAUCCAAGCGUUAUCCGGAAUCAUUGGGUUUAAAGGGUCCGUAGGCGGUUAGAUAAGUCAGUGGUGAAAGCCCAUCGCUCAACGGUGGAACGGCCAUUGAUACUGUCUGACUUGAAUUAUUAGGAAGUAACUAGAAUAUGUAGUGUAGCGGUGAAAUGCUUAGAGAUUACAUGGAAUACCAAUUGCGAAGGCAGGUUACUACUAAUGGAUUGACGCUGAUGGACGAAAGCGUGGGUAGCAAACAGGAUUAGAUACCCAUGUAGUCCCUGAGCGGGCUGGCAAGGCGCAU